AUUCCUCUACGUCUCGUGGGCUCGGAGAUGUGUAUAAGAGACAGGUGGAGGGCCGAACCCAUUAACCUUGAGAAGUUAAGGGAUGAGCUGUGGUUAGGAGUGAAAGGCUAAUCAAGCCCCGUAAUAGCUGGUUCUCUCCGAAAUAUAUUUAGGUAUAGCGUCAAAUGCUGAUUACCGGGGGUAAAGCACUGAAAAGGCUAGGGUUCACACCAGAAUACCGAACCUUAUCAAACUCUGAAUACCGGUGAGAGAAAUUUGGCAGUCAGUCAGUGGGGGAUAAGCUUCAUUGGCGAGAGGGAAACACCCCAGACCAUCGGAUAAGGUCCCUAAGAUAGUGCUAAGUGGCAAGAAGGAGGUAAGUUUUCAUAGACAAUGGGGAUGUUGGCUUAGAGGCAGCCAUCAUUUAAAAAGUGCGUAAUAGCUUACCCAUCGAGAGAAUUUGCGCCGAAAAUGAUCGGGACUCAAGCACUAUACCGAAUCCGUGGAAUUAGCAAUAAUUGGUAGGAGAGCGUUCCAACGGCGUUGAAGGUCGAGCGGCGAGCGAGGCUGGAGCUUUUGGAAGUGAGAAUCUAGGCAUGAGUAACGAAAAGCAUGGUUAAAAUCCAUGCCGCCGUAAGGAUAAGGUUUCCUGGGGAAGGUUCGUCCGCCCAGGGUUAGUCGGGAGCUAAGGCGAGGCCGUAAGGAGUAGUCGAUGCACAACGGGUUAAUAAUCCCGUACCGGCUGGGCAACGUUUGAUCUUUAUAUUGACGGAUGAGUGAAUGCUGGCGAGGUGAUGAACGUCCUCGUCCAAGGCAUCGUAAGGUGUCGACGGGACUCUGAGGCUACGGCCGAGGGGGAUCAGCAAUGGCUAAUCCCGGGAAAAUUUAUAAAGUUAGUUGUCCGGUUGCCCGUACCGCAAACCGACACAGGUAUCCGGGAUGAGUAUUCUAAGGCGCGUGAGUUAAAUCUCUCCAAGGAACUCGGCAAAAUGGCCCCGUAUCUUCGGUAGAAGGGGUGCCAACGCGAGUUGGUCUCAGUAAAGAGGCCCAACCGACUGUUUAUCAAAAACACAGCUCUCUGCCAAGUCGCAAGACAACGUAUAGGGAGUGACAUGUGACCAAUGCGGAAAGGUGAAAACUGCUUGUGAAAGCUUGUGGUCUAAGCCCCCGUGAAUGUCGGCCGUAACUAUAACGGUCCUAAGGUAGCGAAAUUCCUUGUCGGGUAAGUUCCGACCUGCACGAAUCAUGUAACGAGUUGGGUGCUGUCUCAGGGAGAUGCUCAGUGAAAUUGUAGUCGCGGUUAAGAUGCCGCGUACCCGCAGAAGGACGGAAAGACCCUAUGAACCUUUACUGUAAACUGAUAUUGUCGUUUGAUUUUUAAUACGUAGAAUAGCCGGGAGGCUUUGAUUCGGCACUCCAGGGUGCCGAUGAGCCGCAAUGUGAAAUACCGGUUUUUAACUAUUAGGCGUCUAACCGCAAACCGUAAGCCGGUUGCGGGACAGUGUUAGUGGGUCAGUUUGACUGGGGCGGUCUCCUCCUAAAAAGUAACGGAGGACUGCGAAGGUUCCCUCAGACCGGAUGGUAAUCGGUCGUCGAGGAUAUGGCUAAAAGGGAGCUUAACUGUGAGACUUACAAGU
rnacentral:rRNA from 1 species